UACAUGGGGUGCAAACGUUUGCUCGGAAUUAUUGGGCGUAAAGCGCGCGUAGGCGGUUACUUAAGUCGGAUGUGAAAGCCCUCGGCUUAACUGAGGAAGUGCACCCGAAACUGAGUAGCUAGAGUACGAAAGAGGGUCGCGGAAUUCCCGGUGUAGUGGUGAAAUGCGUAGAUAUCGGGAGGAACACCAGUGGCGAAGGCGACUUCCUGGCCUGUUCUUGACGCUGAGGCGCGAAAGCUAGGGGAGCAAACGGGG
rnacentral:rRNA from 1 species